CUAGCAUAUCAAUAAGCGGAGGAAAAGAAACUAACAAGGAUUCCCCUAGUAACUGCGAGUGAAGCGGGAAAAGCUCAAAUUUAAAAUCUGGUGGUCUUUGGCCAUCCGAGUUGUAAUUUAGAGAAGCGUCUUCCGCGCCGGACCGUGCACAAGUCUCCUGGAAUGGAGCGUCAUAGAGGGUGAGAAUCCCGUCUUUGGCACGGACUCCCGGUGCUUYUGUGAUGCGCUCUCGACGAGUCGAGUUGUUUGGGAAUGCAGCUCAAAAUGGGUGGUGAACUCCAUCUAAAGCUAAAUAUUGGCGAGAGACCGAUAGCGAACAAGUACCGUGAGGGAAAGAUGAAAAGCACUUUGGAAAGAGAGUGAAACAGUACGUGAAAUUGUUGAAAGGGAAACGCUUGAAGUCAGUCGCGUCGACCGAGACUCAGCCUUGCCUCGGCUUGGCGUACUUCUCGGCUUGACGGGUCAGCAUCGAUUUCGAUCCUCGGAUAAUGGCAAGGGAAAGGUGGCACCUUUUUUUAGGUGUGUUAUAGUCCUCUGCCGCAUGCUAGGGUCGGGAUCGAGGAACUCAGCACGCGCCUCCGGGUGUCGGGGCCUCGGCCCACGUUACGUGCUUAGGAUGCUGGCGUAAUGGCUUUAAACGACCCGUCUUGAAACACGGACCAAGGAGUCUAACAUACCCGCGAGUGUUCGGGUGGAAAACCCGUGCGCGCAAUGAAAGUAAAAGUUGGGACCUCUGUCGUGGAGGGCACCGACGCCCGGACCAGACCUUCUGUGACGGCUCUGCGGUAGAGCGUGUAUGUUGGGACCCGAAAGAUGGUGAACUAUGCCUGAAUAGGGUGAAGCCAGAGGAAACUCUGGUGGAGGCUCGUAGCGAUUCUGACGUGCAAAUCGAUCGUCAAAUUUGGGUAUAGGGGCGAAAGACUAAUCGAACC
rnacentral:rRNA from 1 species